rnacentral:tRNA from 1 species
GGAGAAAUGGCAGAGCGGUCUAAUGCGGCGGUCUUGAAAACCGUUGAGGGUUACACCUCCGGGGGUUCGAAUCCCUCUUUCUCCGCCA